UACGUAGGGGGCUAGCGUUGUCCGGAUUUAUUGGGCGUAAAGAGCGUGUAGGCGGCCAGGUAGGUCUGCUGUGAAAACUCGAGGCUCAACCUCGAGAUGUCGGCGGAAACUGUCUGGCUAGAGUCCGGAAGAGGAGAAUGGAAUUCCUGGUGUAGCGGUGAAAUGCGCAGAUAUCAGGAGGAACACCGAUGGCGAAGGCAGGUCACUGGGCCGCAACUGACGCUGAGGAGCGAAAGCAUGGGGAGCGAACAGG
rnacentral:rRNA from 1 species